CCUUGGCUUAUUGGCUACCACCAGGCGAGGCCUCCUUCUCGCGGAAGCUUCCCCCAACCACUUGUCCCCCUCUCUCUCCCUCUCUGCGCGCCGCCGCCUUCGCCAUGGCGGCCUCCUCGCCUCCUCUCUUUCCCUAACCCUAGAGCCAACGCGGUGGGCGGAACGUCCUCCAGAUCGCGAUCGCGAUCGCGAUCGCCCCGCAGCGGCGUCUCCACCCCCCUCGUCCGCCGGUUUCUCCGUGCCGCCUCUUCCGAGGUGGGAGAUUACACUUUUCCCAUAUAUAUAUAGUGGUUGGCAAAGGGCUCCUGGAGUCCUGGUUCUUAAAGAUCGAUAACAGCUUUCACCACAAAGUUCUCUGCAAAUUGCAUAAGAUCAAAUACAUGAUUCGUUAGUGCAUCCUUGCCAUCUGUUUUGAUACUUCUAUAUGCAAGUGAUCUGGUGUUCUUUGGUGAAUUCAUGUGUAACCACUGCUCCUUGAGGCAGUUGAAGGGGGUAUUGGACUAGAUCCAUCCUACACAUAACCCUCAUGUGCAAGGGUUCUGCUUGGAUAUGUAGUUUUUCUACACACCAUUGACAACUGAUAAGUAUAUCAGUAACCAUGUUUCCUCCUGCAAUCUAAUAUCGUUCUGUGUUCUGUCAUUUGUUGGUUAGUACUGUUUUUUUAGUAUUGACCUCAACUUAGUAUUAUCAUUAUCCAUGAUUUGGUCCCUAGGUGGUUUAAGGAGUAAGUAGCACAUUUACACCUAUCCUUGUACCUGAAUACAUUGGUUGUUUCCUCCUCCUGCAAUCUAAUAUCAUUAGGUCAUUUGUUGGUUAGUACUGUUUAUUUAGUAUUGACCUCAACUUAGUAUUAUCACUAUCCAUGAUUUGGUCCCUAGGUGAUUUAAGGAGUAAGUAGCACAUUUGCACCUAUCCUUGUACCUGAAUACAUUGGUUGCAAACUUCGCAGUGGUAACUCAAUAUAGAAGUUAGUUUACCUUUGCAUGUUAUAGUUUUUUGUGUCUGGAUCUCAGUUGACCUCUGGUUUUCUAGUGGAGUUUAGGCUACUGCAUCAGUAUCACUUAUUUAACUGGUAGUAUAAUUCAACCUUUUAGUUUUAUGUUUGUACAUUCUAGGAAUAGUAUGCCUUAGUUUUUAUGUUUAUACAUUCUAGGAAUAGUACGCACAUAGCGUAAUUUCCACAGUACCAUAAGAGAAUCGUCGAGAACGAAAUCCUCAACCUAGCAUGUCAUAAGUCAUUCUCUUUCAUGCACCUGUAAAUCCUUGUAUGUAUCGUGUGGCAAUUAUCUGUUGUCAUAUUUUUGACGUAAUGCCUUACUUUGCUUCUCUUGUAACUGAAUUGUUUGUUAUAAUGUACUCCCUCUGUCCCAAAAAAACAAAUCUAGUAUAAGAUGUGACGUCAGUUCAAAUUAGUAUUACUAGGAUGCGUCACAUCCUGUGUUUGUUUAUUUUGGGAGUUGUUCAUGUUUUUGUUUUGACUCUUGAACAUACUUGUUUCUGGUCAUUUAUUGCACUGGAUUUGUCAAGUUAACUAGUGACGCUGACAUCAAUAAUUUUUUUGAAGUUUUGAUGAAUUUGUUCAUUCCCUAUCCAACAUAAUAGAUAUUUGUGAGACCCAACAUAUGUGAAAACGUUACUGUUGUACUGCAAUUUUUUUGGAUCUACAGCAUAUAUUCAUCCAUUUACUUGGUGAUGUCUGGAAUACUGUUCUCAAACAGAAUUAUAGAUGCUUUCAUCAAAUUUGCUGUACCGAGGUAAUUAGUGUAGUCGUUAUUUUUAAGGGUUAUAUUUUUAAUGGGCGUGGGACUUCCAGAUUAUGCUUCCACUUGGUAUAACCGAUGGCAUAAAUCAAUAUAUAUGUUCUGCCGUAUUUUGCCAACUUCAUAUCGCCCGGAUAUAUAUGUUCUGCAGUAUUUUACCAAUUUCAUAUCUCCCGAACACUUCUGCUGUGUGCUAUAACGGCGUGUA